rnacentral:rRNA from 1 species
CAGCCGCCGCGGUAAUACGAAGGGGGCUAGCGUUGUUCGGAUUUACUGGGCGUAAAGCGCACGUAGGCGGACUUUUAAGUCAGGGGUGAAAUCCCGGGGCUCAACCCCGGAACUGCCUUUGAUACUGGGAGUCUUGAGUUCGAGAGAGGUGAGUGGAAUUGCGAGUGUAGAGGUGAAAUUCGUAGAUAUUCGCAGGAACACCAGUGGCGAAGGCGGCUCACUGGCUCGAUACUGACGCUGAGGUGCGAAAGCGUGGGGAGCGAACAGGAUUAGAUACCCCGGUAGUCCCUGUCUCUUAUAC